rnacentral:rRNA from 1 species
UACGUAGGGGGGCGAGCGUUGUCCGGAAUUAUUGGGCGUAAAGAGCGUGUAGGCGGUUCGGUAAGUCUGCUGUGAAAGUCCAGGGCUCAACCCUGGGAUGCCGGUGGAUACUGUCGAGCUCGAGUCCGGAAGAGGCGAGUGGAAUUCCUGGUGUAGCGGUGAAAUGCGCAGAUAUCAGGAGGAACACCAAUGGCGAAGGCAGCUCGCUGGGACGUGACUGACGCUGAGACGCGAAAGCGUGGGGAGCAAACAGG